rnacentral:rRNA from 1 species
ACAUGCAAGUCGAGCGGAUGAUGGGAGCUUGCUCCCAUCAGUCAGCGGCGGACGGGUGAGUAACACGUGGGUAACCUGCCUGUAAGACUGGGAUAACUCCGGGAAACCGGGGCUAAUACCGGAUAACUCAUUUCCUCGCAUGAGGAAAUGUUGAAAGGUGGCUUUUAGCUAUCACUUACAGAUGGACCCGCGGCGCAUUAGCUAGUUGGUGAGGUAAUGGCUCACCAAGGCGACGAUGCGUAGCCGACCUGAGAGGGUGAUCGGCCACACUGGGACUGAGACACGGCCCAGACUCCUACGGGAGGCAGCAGUAGGGAAUCUUCCGCAAUGGACGAAAGUCUGACGGAGCAACGCCGCGUGAGUGAUGAUGUUUUUCGGAUCGUAAAGCUCUGUUGUUAGGGAAGA